rnacentral:rRNA from 1 species
AAACCCGUUCGGCGCAAUUAAAGUGAAGGUUGCACUGGUAUCCUUUAGCCGUCCGCGCUAAGGACCAGUCUUCCAUGGCGGGAUCCGUACUUGGCUACUUUUGUAAGUCUAAAGCCAUGCGGCGCACCGCCGGCCCGUCUUUUCCGCACUGUCGGUAAGGCGGAGCCUGAGCGUUCACGUUGGGACCCGAAAGAUGGUGAACUAUGCUUGGGCAGGACGAAGCCAGAGGAAACUCUGGUGGAGGUCCGUAGCGAUUCUGACGUGCAAAUCGAUCGUCGGACCUAAGUAUAGGGGCGAAAGACUAAUCGAACCGUCUA